rnacentral:lncRNA from 1 species
GGGAUUACAGUCGUCAGUCACCAUACCCGGCUAAUUUUUUUGUACUUUUAGUAGAGAUGGGGUUUCACCGUGUUGGCCGGGCUGCUCUUCAACUCCUGACCUCAAGUGAUCUGCCUGCCUAGGUCUCCCAAAGCGCUAGGACUACAUGUGCGAGACACCAUGCCCAGCCUAUGUUGACUUUUUAAUCUUUUUUUUUUUUUUUUUUUUAGUGAGGUGAAGUUCAUAUAACAUAAAAUUAAACAUAUCGAAGUACAGAAUUCUAUAUCAUUUAGUGCAUUCACAUAAUAUUGCAUCCGCCAUCUUCUUUAGUUUGAAAACUUUUUCGGGUCAACAUGUGGAAACCCGGUGUCUACAAAAAUCACAAAAUAGAAAUAUUAGCCGGACAUGGUGGUGAGCGUCUGUAAUCCCAGCUACUCAGGAGGCUGAGGCAGGAAAAUCUCUUGAACCCGGGAGAUGGAGGUUGCAGUGAGCCGAGAUAGUGCCACUGCACUCCAGCCUGGGCGACAAAGCGAGACUGUGUCUCAAAAACAAACCAACCAACAAAAACAACAAAACUAUUUUGGCGGGUGCAGUGGCAUACCCCUGUAAUUCUAGCACUUUGGGUAGCCGAGGUGGGAGGAUUGCCUGAGCUCAGUAGUUUGAGAGUAGCCUGAGAAACAGUGAGACCCCAUCCGUGCAAAUAAAUUAUAAUACAUUUAAAAAUUUUUUUUCAUCAUCAUGGUUUGUACUCAAUCACUUCCCAUACUCAUCUUCUCCCAUCCCCUAGUGAUCACUAAUCUGCUGUCUCUAUAGGUUUAUCUAUUCUGGAUAUUUCAUGUCAAAGGAAUAUACAAUAUGCGACCCUUGUCUGGUUUAUUUCAUUAGCAUAAUGUUGGCAUGGUUCAUUUGUGUUUUAGCACCUGUCAGUACUUCUUUCCUGUUUAUGGUUUAAUGUAUACUCAUUGUAUGUAUAUACCAUAAUUUGUUUAUCCAUUUACCUAUAGGAGAUUUGCAUUGUUUACAUUUCUAUAAUACCUUUUGGGCAUAAUGAAUACUGCUGUUUUAAACGUUUGCGUACAAGUUUCUGUGCAGAUCAAUAUUUUCACUUUUCUUGGAUGUAUACCUAGCAAUGGAUUUGUGGGUCAUAUGGUAGUUCUAUGUUUGGCUUUUUAAGAAACCACCAAACUCUUUUCCCUAGCAUCUGGACCAUUUUACAUUUUGACCAGCAAUAUACGAGGGUUCCUAUUUCUCCAUAUCCUGCCAACAUUAUUAUUAUUUUUUUUUUCCAUAGCCAACCUAGGGGAUGUAAAGUGGUAUCUCACUGUGGUUUUUAUUUACAUUUGUUUAAUGACCAAUGAGGUUUAAUAUCUUCUUAUGUGUGUUUGGUUAUUGGUAUAUCUUCUUUAGAUAAAUAUUUAUUCAAGCCUUUGCCCAUUAUUUUUUCUUUUGACAUUGAGUCUCACCCUGUCACCCAGGCUGGAGUUUCUGGCAUGACCAUGGCUUACAGCAGCCUCAACCUUUUGGGCUUAAGCAAGCCUCCCACCUCAGCCUCUGGAGAUGCUGGGACUACAAGCACAAACUACCACCAUGCUUGGCUAAUUUUUCUAUUCUUAUUUUGUAGAGAUGGGGUCUCAUUAUGUUGCCCAGACUGGUCUCUAACUCUCAGGCUCAAGUGAUUCUCCUGCCUCAGCCUCCCAAAUUGCUAAGACUACAGCGUGAGUCACUGCACCCAGCCCUUUGCUCAUUUUUGAAUUGGAUUGUUUGUCUUUUUGAGUUGUAAGAGUUCUUUAUGUAUUCUAAUUACUAAAUAGACCCUUAUCAGGUGUAUGAUUUGCAAAUAUUUUCUUCCACUUCGUAGAUUGUCUUUUCACUCUCUUGGUAAUGUUCUUUGAUGCCCCAAAGUGUCUAAUUUUUCUGAAGUCAAAUUUUUCUAUAUUUUCUUUUGUCCCUCAUGCUUUUGAUGUCAAAUCUAAGAAUCUCCUGCUGCCAAAUGAGUUCAUGAAGAUGUGUCCCUAAGCUUUACAAUUCUAGUAGCUUUAUAUUCUUAGUUCUUAUAGUUAGUUUGUUGACCCAUUGUUAGUUUUCAUAUAUAGUGAGAUGGGGCCCAAUUUCAUUCUUUUACAUGUACUUAUUCAGUUGUCCUAGCACCAUCUGUUGAAGAGACUAUUCUUACCCCAUUGGAUGGUCUUGGUAACUUUGUUGAAAAUCAAUUGACCAUAGACGUUUGGGUUUAUUUCUGAACACUUAUUUUUUUUCCAUUGGCCCAUAUGUCUGUUGUCCUGCUGAUACCAUAGUGUUUUGAUUACUGUUGCUCUGUAGUAAGUUUUGAAAUCAGAAAAUGUGAGUUCUUCAACUUUUAAAAUACUGUUUUGUCUACUUGGGGCUCGUCACGUUUCCAUAUGAAAUUGAGGAUUGGCAUUUCCAUUCCUGCAAGAAGACCAUUGGAAUUCUGAGAGGGAUGCACUGAAUCUGUAGGUCACUUUGGAGAAUACUGGUAUCUUAACAACAUUGAAUCUUCCAAACUAUUAACAUGGAACAUCUUUCCAUUUAAUCAGGUCUUCUUUAAUUUUUUUUUCAGCAAUGUUUUGUAGUUUUAUGUAUAUAAGUCUUUCACCUCCUUGGAUAAAUGUAUUCUUAAGUAUUUUAUACUUUUGCAUACUAUCAUCAAAAGGAUUUUUUUUCCUUUUUAAAUUCUUCAUUUCCAGCAUAUAGAAACACAACUGAUUGUUCUGUGUUAAGUAUGUACCCCACGACUUGUUCAGAUUUUGUUCUCCUGAUAUCUGUUAGUUCUUUAUCCCUGGAUUCUUUCAGCUCUUUGAAAAUAUUAAUGCAGCUAAUUUACAGUCUUUUUCUGGUAUGUUCAAUGUUUGGGUUUCUUCAUGGAUGUUUCCUCUCAUUUUUUAUUCCCUGUGAGCCACACAUUUCUGAUUCCUUGUAUGCUUUGUUCUUUUUGGUUGAAAACUGGACAUUUUGAACAUUGUAAUGGGGUAACUCUUGAAGUCAAAUUAUCUUCCUUUUCCAGAAAUUGCUGAUGCUGUUCAUUGAGAAGUGCAGUCAUCCGUUUGUUUAGUGACUUUCCUAAACUGUGUUGCAAAGACUAUAUCCCUUGUCAGGUGUGGCACCGAUGUCUCUAUUCUGUUAUCUCAGCAGUCAGCCAAUGGCCUGGCAGAGACUCUGUUGGAUAUUUUAACCCAAUAAAGAAAGAGUAAAUAAGGUGUUUUGCUCUUUUAAAUUCCCCCUGACCGAUGCUGCCUGGAAGGCCAUUUCAGUCCAAGUGGGUUGAAACAAUGGCUAAAUCCUGCCCUAGUGCCUCAGUGAUCCACGAGGCAAAUCAAAACACAUGACCCUUAAAAAAAAAUGCAACCCUGAUCUUUGAAGCACACGGUUCUUAUCUCCAACUUGGAAAUAGCAAGCCACACCAGGAACAUGAACUGUCAUCCACACAGAUACCAGUUGCCCCAGGGAACAAGAGAUGGUAGCUGCUCCAUGAAAUGCUAAACUUCACCAAAAUAUAUUACUUCAAGCACUCCCCUGCACAGUGCAAGUGUUUGACCAGGCUCUAGAUUUUAAAAAUAGUUAAUUCUGACAAUUAACUCUUUCUCAAUAGUUUUUUUUUUUUUUUUCCAGCGGAGGGACUGAUUUUUGGAGCUUCCUACUUUGUCACCUACACAGUGACAUCCCUCUACAAUGUCUUUUACACCUUUACUGCUAUUCCUUGGUUUUUUGUGUGGAUUCAAAUUAUUGUCCGAUGUCACUUGGUUUUCAGACUACAAAAAUUCUUGUAGCAUUUCUCUUGAGGCAGGUCUUCUAGCAACAAAUUCCCUCAGAUUUUAUUUAUCUAGCAAAGUAUGUAUUUUGCCUUUCAUUUUAAAAGAUAAUUUGGCCAAUUCUUGGUAGACAGUUUUUUUCCCUUCAGCAUUUUAAACAUAUCAUUUUACUGCCUUCUGGCCUCUAUUGUUUGUGAUCAAAAGUCAGCCAUCUAUCCCAUUGGAGUUUGUUUGUGAUGAGUGAUUCACCUUUCACUACUUUCAAGACAUUCUCUUUCUCUUUGACUUUCACAUAUUUUACUAUUAUGUGUCUGAGUGUGGUCUAUUUGUAUUUAUUCAACUUGGAAUUUGUUGAGUUUCUUGGAUAAGCAAUUUUUUUUCAUCAAAUGUGGGAAGUUUUCAGUUAUUAUUUUUUUGAGUUUUUCUACCUUCUCUCUGUGCUUUUCUUCUGGUACUUCUAUUACUUGUAUGUUGAUGUAUUUAAUUGUGUCCCACAUUUCUCUGAUGCCAUGUUCAUUUUCUUUAUUAUUUUUUUCCGUUUUUUUUUUAUGUUGGGUAAUCUUUAUUAUAUUCAAUUUGCAGAUUCUUUCUUCUGCCAGCUAAAAUCUACUUCUGAGCCCAUCUAGUGUUUUUUAAAUUUUGUUAUACUUAACUCCAGAAUUUUUAUUUUGCUCUUUAAAAAAUAUAUAUAAGUUCUGUCUCUUUAUUGAUAUUCUUUAUUGGGUAAGACAUUGUCCUCAUUCCUUCCUUUAAUCCUUUAAACAUGUUCUCCUAUAGUUCUUUGAACAUAUUUAUAGUGGCUGCUUUGAAGUUUUAAAUAUCUAAGUUUAUUUAAACAAUUACUUUUGACUGCUUUUUUUCUUUUAACAUGAGUCACAUUUUUCUCCUUCAUUAAAUGUCUUAUACAUUUUUUGUUGACAAUUGGACAUAUUAGAUAAUAUAUUGUAGCAACUCUGGAUAUUGAUUCUAGUUCCUGUCCAUCCCCUACCCCUCUGCACCUAAGGGGUUGAUAUUGCUGCUGUUUUCCAUGUCAUUGAUUUAUUUGUUUAAUGAUUUAGUUAACUAACCCUAUGAAGUAUUUUUCCCUCUAGUGUGCAGCCUUUGAUGUCCUUCCUCAUGUUAUUUACUUUUUUUAAAACUUUUUGCUGAGUGAUUUAGGAUCAUUCAUGAAUUGGCAUGUAAGCCACUUAUUGAUCAAAAGUUACCCCCUUGGCAAUUAAAUUUUUUCCCUUUACCACUAGACGUAUAAGUAACUUGGAGGCUGCUCUGACAGGUGAAGAAGUUUACACUUUUGCUCCCUGUCUACCCAGGAACUAGUCGCUUUUUAUCCCCCCCGCCGCCCACCCCCCCAAUUCACUCCUAGGAUGGUGCAGCUUUGAGCAUACACACAAUCUUCCAGAUUGUUAGGGAUACAUGUGGUUUUAUUUUUAAGCAUAGCUCUUAGGAGUUGCUUCAGGUUUAGAGUAGGUUACUGUUCAGCCAGUGUUUAGUUGGAGGUUAUCUUUAAUCCAUAGUGCCAGUGCCAGCUUGCAUUUUUUUUGUGAUGGAUCUGUGUGCAGCAUGGGAAAGUUUUCAGAUUUGCUUCAUUUCCUGUUCUGAUGCUCCCAAGUAGGUACAACCAAUCACUCAUGUACAGCCUUUCCAACCCCCAAGGCUGACUGUGCUCCCAGGAGGACUCUUCUUGGUUGUUUCUUCCCAUGAUCCAGUCUAGUAAACCUCUAAUUGCUCUGUUGUUGUGCUUGUAUUAUGGAGCUAUGAGCACCCUCUUAAUUUCUCUCUACCAAGAUUUCCCUUGUUUUUGACAACACUCUAGAAAUGAAAUUCUCCAUGCUGUGCUCCAAAUGAAGUCAGUCUCCUCAGGCAGAGCUACAGCAACCUGCUUUUCCCCCUCGGCUAAAGCUCUAUGCCACUGCCGAAGAGCUCAGGGUGGGAAGAGAAGCCUACUGCUAGAGUGACGAAACUACUCUAUGAGCAGACAUUAGGAAAUGAUAGUGGCCCGUGGUUUUUCUAGAUUGACCCUUCUAAUAUGGGACUCUUGUCCUACCAGCAAGCUGAUCAAGAAUGAUUGGAGUGCAAAAUUCUUGGCCUGCCACGUCUGAACUAUAACUGCUGUCCUUAAAGUGGGGGCUAGGUGGAAGGAGCACUAGUCCUCUCUGAAUAGAGCUUCUGCAACAUGGGGCUUGUAGGGGAGGAUAGAAAACGUUAGCAGUCCACUCCUUCCCAGAUGAUUCCAUAAGAUGGACCUGGCAGAGAAGUGUCAUGUCUCAAAUGUCACAGACUAUCACUGUUCUUAUUGAGAUUUAGUAAAUAUACUUGAGUGUAUAUUUCUCCAAUUAUUGUAGGACAAUUUCCAGAAGCUUUAAAUGAUUUUUUAAACCGUAAUUUUCUUUAAGUAAAUGGUUGCUUUAUGGGGGAGAAAGUCUGCUGGUCUCCCCCUUCCAUCAUGCCAGAAGUUGGUUUUCUGUCCUAUCUUUUAAAUGUCAUCUAUGAGCUCAUGAUGCGCAUGUGCCUGCCUCUAACCUAGCCUUUCACCUGGACACCAGACUUCCAUAUCCAGCAGACAACUUGUCAUCAAGUAGUUUUGGUUUUUUUUCCUCAUAAAUGUUCUCUUCAGGCCUUCUUUAUCUCAGUAAAUGAAACCGCCAUCUACCCAGUUCAUCAACUCAGAGCCUGAGCAUCAGCCUUAAUACCUCCCUCUUGUCAACCACAUGUAAUCCAUUAGAAAGUUUCAUUGGGUCUGUCUCUCAAAUAUGCCUAGAAACUGCUCAUUUCUCUCCAGUUCCAUGACUACUGACUCUGAAUCAUUCCCCUUCACUUGAUCUAUUAAAAUAGCCUUUUAAUGGGCUGUCUGCUUUCACUCUCACUGCCCCUCCAAUCUGUGCCUCACACUACCCUCCGAGUGAUCACUGUAUGUAUAUUUCCCCUAGACAUAUGCUUUAACCCUGGCUUCAGCCCUGUAGGAACUGGCUGCUCUUUACCUCUCCUUCCAAUCUCAUCUGAAGGCCCUCCCUUGACCUGUGUAUUAUAGUCACAUGGUCCUCUUUGCUAGCGUGCUUUCCUUUGCGUGGAACAGUCUCCUCCUUCUCCCUUUGCAUGCUGGCAUUCCUCCUCUUCUCUUCUUGUUUUAGCUUAAAUGUCACCCCCUCUAAGAUGCUUUCUAGGUGGCUUCUCCUUUGUUGUUCUCUGUUGUUUCAGCCCAUUCAUUUCCUUUACAAUUCUUGACAUGGUUUGUAAUUAUUAUUUGUUUAAUGAUUUAUUCUCUGCUGUUCCUACUAGAUGGUAAACUCCAGGACAGCAAGAACCUCAUAGUUGUUUUGUUAAGAACCCUGAAAUAAACACUUACAAAUAGUAAGAGCUCCCACUUACCAAGCAGUAAGUAUUUUCAAGAAAUGUUCUAAAAUAUAUAUGAAUAUAUAUGUAUAUGCAUACACAUAUUUACACAAAAAUAUGCAUACACAUAUACACAUGUGUAUACAUUUAUAUACAUAUACACUCAUGUGCACAUUCAUGCAAAAGCACACACUCAUUUAAUCUUCACAACAAUCCUAUGAGGUAGAUACUUUUAUUAUCUUCAUUUUACAGCUGAUUAAACUAGAGCACUGGGAGGAUGGGUGACCCGGCCCAGCAUCACUCAGUGAGCGAGCUGCUAACCCAGGUUGCUCCAGGGUCUAUGCUUGUAAGCAUUUCAGCUGCUUCUCAGUGCAGUGACAGGAACAAAGUGGGUACUCAGUUAAUAUUUGUAGAAUAAAUAAACAAAGGGUAAAACAAAAUGGAGAUGUUAUCAUCCCUAAGAACAGUGCUGUUCAGCAGAGCUUUCUGAGAUGAUGGAAAUGUUCUACAUCUGUGCUGUCCUAUACAGCAGUCACUAGACACACAUGGCUACUGAGCACUUGGGAUGCAGCUAGUAUGACUCAGAAAAUGAAUUUUUUGUUUUGUUUAGUUUUAAUUAUUUAAAUUGCCAUAUUGUGGCUACUGACAACUAUAGUAGAUAGUGCAAUCUAAGAUUUUUGAGAUGGUAUCACUGUAAAUGCCUUGAGGUUGACAGUCUUGAUAAAUCGAACUCCAAAGACUGAUCACAGAAUUCUCCUCUGCAUUUUUUUCCCUAGUGUCCUCUCCCCCCUAGUUCUUCAAACAUCCUUUAUCCUCCCACUUUACUUCGUUCCAGCUGAUUGAACCAAGCCUCCUUUCUCACAUGUGGCACUAAAGCCAUUUUCCCUACUCUUUCAACAGUGCCCUGAACAGUCCCUACAGAAGCAGUGAAGUAGUCAACAAACAUCUCAUGUCUACUUGGGAUGGAGCACUGGCUCAGGUCCUGGGGAGGAGUGGAGGGGGACACAAAGACAAGUAAGACAAGGUACCUGUCUAACGGUGAAGUGGGGGAGUUAGACUUAUACACUAACUCAUAGUAAGGGCUCGGUCAAAAGGAUGGUGUUGGGGGAGGGUGGGUGUCCAGGUCUGUAGACUCAGAAUUCAAAACUGGGGUUCUGGAGUGCCCGCUUUGCAGAAAUUGCUGUAAAAUGUCACCAAUUUUACUCACACUUGGACUAAAAGAAUAAAUGAAGUCAUGGCUUACUUUAAAAACUGAGCUUAUGACAGACACGAGACAGUCUUACUGACAUCUAGAAAGAGACAACUGGCCUGGAUAGAGGGAGCUUAUAUUUUUUACUCUAAUGGCAAUACUACUUUUUACAGAAAAAGAAUCAAAGAAAUAGUAAAUAAAAAUCAGACUGACUCGAAUAUUUAAAAAGAAGAAAAAAAGUAGUGCACGUUAAUCCUCCAAUUCAGGGGCAAUUACUAUUCAUAUUCUCAACCAUAUGUAAUAACUGGGGUAGUGAAAAUGCAUUUCUUUCCUCCCACCAUUUGCAUACUUGGAAUCUCACUUACAUUGCAUGUAGGUUAGAGAAAAAAGAUGCUGCUUUGUUUGGAUUUUGCUUUUGCUGUGGAAUCCAUUAGACAGCAAUGUGCUUUGUAUGUCAAAGAGUAGAAAGGCUCCAUUUCCUCUUUUCAAAAUGUUUUUAGCAGAAGUCAACCACUGUAUUUAUUCCAUGAAGUUCUCCAUUUGAUUACUCAGUGUGUGCUAGCCACAGAAAAGCAGUGAUUUUUUUUUUUUUUUUAACCACAAAGGACUUUCAAUCUUAGGAUGAGUCUUAUAGCAUCAUACUUUGAAAGUGAAAUUUUUAGGCAGUUAUCUAAAUGUCACUCUAUAAGAAGCAUUUAAACGCAUAGCAACACCCAGCUGAUGUCUAGGAACUUCAUUUUUCAUACAGAUAUAUUAUCAGUGCACUGGUGGAGUGACUGCGUCUUUGAUUUCCCCAAACUUCCUCAAGUUUACUCUUUUCAAAAAAAGUAGCUCCUUAUGUGCAAAAUCAAAUGAGAUUUCAUUUUGAUGCCUCUCUAAGACUUUUCUUAUAAAUUACACCACAGAUUAGAAGGAAAAAGAAAACCCAAACAGCAAAGAACUAGAUCAACUCUUCCAGUCUACUCUAGACUGAAGAAAAUAGCUCCUAAGACAUAAACUCCCUGCUUGUGUGUUAACACCACACUUUCCCAAAGUGUGUUCCUAAGAACACUAGCACCAUGGGUUGUAACACAAAGAAAGCAUUCCGUGGUGAAUUCCAUGAGGAAUUGGAAUCUUUUUUAAGAGGCAAUGGAAUCUUUUAAGACUCCAUUUUUUAAGAGAGGAAAUGGAAUCUUUUUUAAGAGACAGGGUCUUGGUCUGUCACCCGGGCUGGAGUGCAGUGGCAUAAUCAUAGCUCACUGCAGGCUCAGACUCCUGGGUUCAAGUGAUCCUCCCACCUAAGCCCCCUGAGUAGCUAAGAACUACAGGUGUAUGCCACCACACCUGGCUAAUUUUUAAAUUUUUUUGUAGACCUGUGAUCUCACUAUGUUGCCUCGGCUGCUCUGAAACUCCUGGCCUCAAGUGAUCCCCCCUGCCUUGGCCUCCACAGUGCUGGAACUAUAGGUAUGAGCCAUUGCACCCAGCCAGGAAAUACAAUUUUCGAAAGACUAAACAAGUUUCUAAAAUCAUGGCACAAUUAAGUAGCAAAAUUAGAAUACAGAGUGGGCUUGUUGGAAAGCGUCAACUAUUAAUCACCAUGCCAUACUUUUGAGGAGCAGACCCCACACUUGUAACCAGGCCCUUCAAUUUAUCAUUCCUGCAAGUCAAGACUUCACCUGUGAACCAGCUGCCCUCUGCCAGCCCAACUUCGUGGAUGUGCAAUCUCUACAGUUGCACAGGGUCCCGUGUUUAGUUUAGUACUUUGCUUUUGCUAUCUUUAAAUACUUAAUAAUUUUUAAACAAGAGAUUCCAUAUUUUUAUUUUGCACUGAGCUUCACAAAUUACAAAGUCAGCGCUAUCCACAGUACCCAAGCUAUAAUUAAUACAAAGCUUUAAAAGCUGCAUGGAGUUUAGCUGAAAUUGCUGCCCAGUCCGAAGCUAAUUUUGGAAGAUGCUGUUCGGUCUUAGGUUAUGAAAAACGGUUCUGCCCUUUUACAACUCCAGCAGGAAGAGCUAAGCUCCCAAUAUUCCGUCCAUUAAUGUCCCUGGUGAGAGUCUUCAAAACUCACGAGCAACAAUGCAAGAAUUUCCCAGCCUUCAACGUGUGACCCACUUCUACAUUAUUGACUCCAAUAAACUGACCAAUUAAAUGUUUUUGUGGUCACAGAACUUGUAAUUAUGUGGUUAAAGAUGUUUCAGAUAUAUCACAUUCUUUCACACUGUGGCAGAAACUAUUGGUUAAAUAACUCAGCCAUGUCUAUCUUCCUUGUCCAAUCUGCACAAAAGAGACUGGAAAAAAGCUGGACACUUGCUUCUUUCCCAUCCUCCUUUGCAGGUAAGCAUCGCUGUGUGACUUAGUUCUGGCCAAUGAGAUGGGAAGGCAGUCUUCUGGGAUGCAAAAAGCUUUUUUCUUUGUUAAUAAAAAGGAGAAUGCCUCUAUAGGAAAAGAUCUUUUUCAAUACCACUCUGUUGCCCAUUUCCUACCUUGAUGUUGUUUGGAGCUACGGCACCCAUCUUGAGAUAAUAAGGUAAAACACAUCACUAGGAAAAACCAACAGCUGAAUUUAGAGUAGACAGGAUGGAAGGGACCUGGUGAUAUUGUGGAGCAAUGAACGAAUGCUGUCGACUGCCUAGUUAACCUAUUACUUGUUUAAAUCUCUGAUAGGCUAUAUUUUUAAAAUUUUGCAACCAGGGUUAUUCUUAGUCUAAGCAUGCAACUUUGAAAAAUGUGAUCCCUUUGACAAGAUAACAAGCCUUCCAUUACCUGCUGCAGGUGACCCAGUUUGCUGGCUGUUGUGGGUAGCUCAGAACAGGACCCUAAGGCACCUUGGCCCUCCCUCUGCUUUAAAACUCAACACCAAACUGUAUUCAUUCUUGUGGUACUGCCUGUGUCUUAACAUGCAUCCCAACAUCUGGCACAGAGCCUGGCACUGGCAACCUCUUAGGAAAUUUGUUAAAUGAACUGAUAGUGUAGCAUUCUGUCACUUUCCUCAGCGAUAAAAUUCUCAUUCUUCAAAAAAUUUUCCUUUUGCAACUGAAUUUAAAAAUGAAAUACCUACCACCUACCACUUCAAGCUUUGCUAGGUGACGGCUUACUAAAAAAAAAAAAAAAAAAAAAGGAAAAAUACUCUUGUAUGAUGACUGAGGAAUACUGAGUGGAAAACUGAUUGGUUUCUACAAGGCAUCAUUGGUCCUUGCCAGUGGCCAGUAGGAUGUGGUUGGUGUGGUGUGGUGUGGAGUGAAAGAGAAGUCAAAAGCAAAGGCUAUGGUGCCAAAAUACUUGGGUUCAACUCCCCGCUCUGUCACUUACUUACUGGGCGCCUUUAGCAAGUUUUCUCUCCUCUCUGAGCCUUGGUUUCCUUAUUCUAAAACGGGGAGCGUAUCUAAGAAAGAUUGUAGGAGGAUUAAAUGCAUGAGAGAAUGAAAACCUGUAAAGUGCUUACCACAAGCAUGAUACUUGGUAAGUAUUCAAUAGACUUUAGUUAUUGCUUUUUAUCUCAAGUGCUACCUGGGACUUACCUCUCAAAAAUUUUCAGACCAUUGAACACAUCUAAUAUCUAUCUUAAAGAAGGCAUACAAUAAAUAUUUAAUAAAAAUUAAAUUAAAAAAACUGGUAGGUAACCAUGGAUCAUCUCUAGAGAUGAUCAUCGUAUCAGACCUACAUAGUAUGUUAGAGCUUGGGGUCUGGAGUCCGACGGCCCGAAUCUUCCUCACAGUCCAGCUUUCAGUGAACCUCACAGUGCCUCAGUAUCCUUAAUUGAAAAACAGGAAUAAUAAUAGUACCUUCCCUAUAAGGGCUUUAGAGAAGUGAGUGGGUUCUGCCUAGUAUCUGACACAACAAGUAGUCCAUAAAGGUUAGCUCUUUUUAAUCCAUCCCACAGGAAGCUCUGAUGUGCUAUGCUGGGUAGAAAAGUAUAUCUUACAAAAAUAUCCCUGUUUUGCUCUCUGAAACCCUGUUGAAACCUUUUGACAUUCAGCUACAUGUUAAGCCCUGGGCAACCUUGGAGUUCUUCCGCCAUCUGUGUAACUGUGAAUCUUAACGUGCUAAGUAUACAACAUACACACAUCACCUCUCAUUUAAUAAAGCAAAUUGUUCCACACAAGGGUAGCAGAGCUCUCGUUUGCAAGCUCAGAUCUAAUUAGCUCUCUCAAUACAAUUUGCAAGUUGCAUCCAGGCAGAUCACUGGGGAGCACUUGCUCUGGUGAGCUAAGAGGAACUGUAGGCCCAUUCUGUAGUUUGCCGCAGAUACUGCAUAUGGUAGCAAAAUUGUGUCUAUUUCUUCCCCUGUGAAAUCCUAAAAGCAGCUCUUCCCAGCUGGCUGCAGCUACAGACAUCUUCCUUCCUUCCACUGUUAGAAGAGGAUUGUGGGGGUUUAGUAACAAACUUUUAUGUAUACUGGUAAGGCGAAAAGGAGCAGGUGCAAAAGAACAUCUUACACAAGGGGUGAAAGAGUCAACAGGCAGAACCAACCCUCACUGAGGUUCCUGUGGCAAAGACAGAGAAAUUAAAGGGAGGUCAAAUGAAUACCAUUUGUGGGCAAGAGGCAGAUCUCUUGCAGGUAGAUGACAAUGGUAUGUGAAGGAACUGUAUUCUAGGACAACUAAGCAUAAAGAAAUAGUGGGAAGCAGAAUCCCAACUCAGAGGGAGAGGAUGAAAGAACAUUUAUUACAUUUCCCUACCCAGUGUUCAUGCUGUCCCUGUUUUGGUAGAGAAACCUUGCUGCCCUUUGAGGAAUCUUCUAGGUUAUGUGUUUAAGGUGUUGCAGAAACUGUUCCCUGGACUGGUGGGGGUGGGAGGGACAAAUGACCCAGGUCCAGCCAGAGGGAAUUUUUUCAGCUUUUGCUGAAGUAAUUUAGAAAGUCACUUUCAUUCUCUGUGGAAGCUUAAGCUGGCAGGAUAUGCCCCCAGGGCUGCUGGGGACAUCCCAAAAGGAAUCUGCUUGAGAAUGAAACCAAUGCAGAGGAAGGAGUGAAGAGGUGAAGAGAGGCAGGUCGGUUGGAUCAUUGUUCGGGAAUCUGUAUCCAGCCAGCCAUGCAUCCCCUGGACUUUUCCGUCACAAGGCUGGUAAAUUCCCUUUUUGCCAAACCCAGUUGGAGUUAGUUUCUGUCACUUCUGACUCAUCAGUGAGGUAAAGGGGAAGACAUACCUAUUUAUAGUAUGUGGCACUUUUUCCUCAACCACCAAGUCUUUAAUAGGAUCUCUAUCUUGGUCUACAGUGACCAUAUUUUCCCAACCACUUCCCUAUAGAAUUAGGAUAUCUGCCCAAACAGAAUUUUACUAAUAGAAGGGUAGAACAGAAUGUUCGAAAAUCAGAACUAUUCUGAAAAUCCGGGACAUGUGAAGGAAACACACGUCCUGAGAGUCAUAAUCACACAGUCUCGUUACCUGAGUGAACUCCUGAGGCAUGCAUUUCAAACUCACAUUUCUGCAUUUGGUAAUUGGGCUAAAAAUAUCUUGCUCAUACUGUCUGGCUAAAGAAUGAAACACAUUGCUCAAGGAGCCCUUGCCCCACCUCUAAGCGAGCUAGUCAAUGUUUGGACCCUGCAAAGAGUCCCAGGUGGAGAAUUCAGCCCUCCUGCCAUCUUGGCCACUUAGGAGUGACUCAGCUCAGUAACUUGGUUCCUCAGCAUCUCAGUAGCUACUUGACCCUGUAGAGGUGACAUGCUAUGCCUUAGAAAGGUACUCGUAGGAAGCAGUGCCAAGCCACAUUUGUCUUCAGAGAUGAUCUAUCUUCAGUUCUUAAGAGUAGGCAAUUGGCAAGGGGAGCAUAAUACUUUAGCUUCUGGUAUAACUGAUGGAAUCAUUAUUAUUAUUACUAUUAUUAUUAUUAUUAUUAUUAUUAUUAUUAUUAUUUUGGAGAUGGAGUCUCGCUCAGUUGCCCAGGCUGGAGUGUAGAGGCACAAUCUCGGCUCACUGCAACCUCUGCCUCCUAGGUUCAAGUGAUUCUACAGCCUCAGCCUACCAAGUAGCUGGGAUUACAGGUGCCCACUACCACACCUGGCUAAUUUUUGUAUUUUCAGUAGAGACAGGGUUUCACCAUUUGGCCAGGCUGGUCUUGAACUCCUAACCUCAGGUGAUCGGCCUGCCUCAGCCCCUCAAAGUGCUGGGAUUACAGGCGUAAGCCACCAUACCUGGCCAUUAUCUUGCUUUUGUGAUCAACAGGACGAUUGCUGGAUUAAGCACUUACUGUGUACGAGGCACCAUGUUAAACAUUUUACAUUUACCAGUUAAAUAUUCAUAAAACCCCAUGACAUAGGAUCUACUAAUGUCUCCAAUUUACACAUGAGAAAACCAAGACUCAGAGUAGCUGAGCAAAAUUUACACAUUAGCAAAUAUUGGAGCCAGAGUUAUAUUCUAGAGUCAUCCCCUCUUCCUCCCAUAGACCAUGUUCUUAAUGCUUACUAUUAUAUAUUCAGACUCUUAAAAGAACUUUGCUAUUCUUACUUUGGACCAUACGAUUUUUAAAAAUUUUCCCUGCUUUGGGGUUGCAACCCUAGUCUCUGAUAAAACAGACUUUAAACCAACAAAGAUCAAAAGAGACAAAAAAGG